GUAUAUAAGCUAAGUUAUCAGCUUCCUUUUUCUCAUUGCUGCCAUUCCUCAUGCGCCGUUUACCCUAUCUCUCUCCAUUUUUCUCCUGCAAUUUCUUCCAUUCUUCUUGCUUUCAGAAAAACCUCACACGCCUGCAAUCAAAACCCCAAGCUUCCCCUAUUUUCUAUCAAAUCAAUCCGUCCAAGUUGAAAUCAUCCAUCAGUUCUCUUUGGUUUCGCAUUGCAGCUCCAUAUUCUGAAACCUGCAAAUCUAAACACAAAUCUACCUUCAUUUCUUCGCAGACUCGAGCCCAGCUCACCUAUUUCAGUUGUCUCAGUUUUCCUACGCACAAAGGUAAAAUACAUCGAUCUUGUCUCCUCAUUAAUUUCUUAAUUCCAGCACAAAUGCAAUAGUGAAAUUCGAGCCUAAUGUAUUUGUAUGUCCGUGAGCUUGUGUUGUAAGCGAUGACAGGAGAUGUUGGCGAACACAAGGAACGGUAGCAAUGUCAAACUUUAAAUCCGCAAGAAAAAUAAGCAACGACAACCACGAUGUCCACAGAUCUCAGAAAUACAGCUUUUGUUGUGUUAUGGUGUCACUGAUAAGAAAGGAUUGGUUCUAGACAAAUAUGCAUUGCAUUCUGCAAAAUCUCAAGGUUCGUGUGCGGUUGUUAUUUGGAAUUGAUAGUUCAUGGAAGGAUGUUGCGAUGAAACUUACUGUCAAAUCAAAGGAUGGAGCUGCCAGUGAUGUCAUCCAAGAGAUUGUGGCAAAUGGGUGAACACUUGAGUGUAAUUUGUUCUCCUUUCUGCAUCCACAGUUGCUGCUUAUGAGACAGUGCCUUCCCAAGCAUUGCCCACAAAAUGAGGAUUUUUGAUAUUUUCUCCUAUGCUGAAAGAUAACAGAUGUAGCUUUCCCCUCUUUAAACUUUAGAAAUCAGAACGAAUUGCUUUGUUAUUGUUAAGGUGAAGUUUAGAGAACUGUUCUUAUUCCUCUAAGAGGAAGGGUUAAUACAAAAUGAGGAAGCGAAGUUUAGAGAA